CUCAAUGGUGGGCUGGAUGGGGGAGCCGAAAGGCUCGCCGGAAGGUGAACCCGGUAAGACCAACUCCGUUCAGUUCGCCACCC
rnacentral:antisense_RNA from 16 species